rnacentral:rRNA from 1 species
UACGGAGGGUGCAAGCGUUAAUCGGAAUUACUGGGCGUAAAGCGCACGUAGGUGGUUUGCUAAGCCAGCUGUGAAAUCCCCGGGCUCAACCUGGGCACUGCAGUUGGAACUGGCAAGCUAGAGUAGGGUAGAGGGGUGUGGAAUUCCAGGUGUAGCGGUGAAACGCGUAGAUAUCUGGAGGAACAUCAGUGGCGAAGGCGACACCCUGGACUCAUACUGACACUGAGGUGCGAAAGCGUGGGGAGCAAACAGG